UUGCCUCUCCAAAUAGGAAUCGCCCCCGCCGACCUCCUCCCGCCCACGAGCGGCAACAAACUGCAACUGUCCUAGAUUGGAGUGGUGGAUCCGCUCAUUGGCAUCUCAUCUCUUAUUCAUCGAGUUCAGGAGGAGCUCGUUGGCAUGAUCGCAUCUCAUCUCUUCUUCGCCGAGUCCAGGAGGAGAUCCACGCGGGGAGGGAGACGAACAAGAGCGGCGCAUCGACGGUACGGGCAAACGACGACCCAGGUAUUGCUAUCUCCCUACCCUCGCUCCACCCCAUCUUCUCCCUGUAGCAUGUACUGCCACACGCCCACGUUCCCCUCUCCAAUGGCUGAUGCUCACGGUAGCCUGUAUUGCGGCACCCGCAUGUUCUCUUGGCAGGGCCGGCGAGCGGCAUGCCAUUGUGUUGCAAGAGGCACUAGCGGGGGCCUUCUUGUUGUAGACGGGGCGUAGGGGUGCGGCAACAUGUCAAAGGGCUCCACCCGCUUGUCCGUCACCGCCGGAUGUGUCCCUGUGGCAGCAGAUCUGCCUUGAUCUUCGUCCACAAGAAUGGAGGCAGUGCGAUAUGGCCCUGUUUUGUUUUAUUCCCACUUGUUGCAAAACUGGUGGUUGUUCAUCUUGAUGUAGUGACUUGACAUCACCUUGUUCUUGAUCCAAAUAGGAUGGACAUUCACAUUCACGUUUUGGCAUUGACUGUACAUACUCCUUUCAAGUUAGAUUAACAAG
rnacentral:lncRNA from 1 species